rnacentral:rRNA from 1 species
GAUCAUGGCUCAGAACGAACGCUGGCGGCAUGCCUAACACAUGCAAGUCGAACGAGACCUUCGGGUCUAGUGGCGCACGGGUGCGUAACGCGUGGGAAUCUGCCCUUGGGUUCGGAAUAACAGUUAGAAAUGACUGCUAAUACCGGAUAAUGUCUUCGGACCAAAGAUUUAUCGCCCAGGGAUGAGCCCGCGUAGGAUUAGCUAGUUGGUGAGGUAAAGGCUCACCAAGGCGACGAUCCUUAGCUGGUCUGAGAGGAUGAUCAGCCACACUGGGACUGAGACACGGCCCAGACUCCUACGGGAGGCAGCAGUGGGGAAUAUUGGACAAUGGGCGAAAGCCUGAUCCAGCAAUGCCGCGUGAGUGAUGAAGGCCUUAGGGUUGUAAAGCUCUUUUACCCGGGAUGAUAAUGACAGUACCGGGAGAAUAAGCCCCGGCUAACUCCGUG